UACAGAGGUGGCAAGCGUUGUUCGGAAUUACUGGGCGUAAAGGGCGCGUAGGCGGUUCGUUAAGUCCUGUGUGAAAUCCCCCGGCUCAACUGGGGAACUGCACAGGAAACUAGCGGGCUUGAGUUCGGGAGAGGGAAGCGGAAUUCCGGGUGUAGCGGUGAAAUGCGUAGAUAUCAGGAGGAACACCGAUGGCGAAGGCAGUGGUCUGGGCCGAUACUGACGCUGAGGAGCGAAAGCGUGGUGAGCGAACAGG
rnacentral:rRNA from 1 species